rnacentral:rRNA from 1 species
AGUCGAGCGAAAGACGAGGAGCUUGCUCCUCUGACGUUAGCGGCGGACGGGUGAGUAACACGUGGAUAACCUACCUAUAAGACUGGGAUAACUUCGGGAAACCGGAGCUAAUACCGGAUAAUAUAUUGAACCGCAUGGUUCAAUAGUGAAAGACGGUUUUGCUGUCACUUAUAGAUGGAUCCGCGCCGCAUUAGCUAGUUGGUAAAGUAACGGCUUACCAAGGCAACGAUGCGUAGCCGACCUGAGAGGGUGAUCGGCCACACUGGAACUGAGACACGGUCCAGACUCCUACGGGAGGCAGCAGUAGGGAAUCUUCCGCAAUGGGCGAAAGCCUGACGGAGCAACGCCGCGUGAGUGAUGAAGGUCUUCGGAUCGUAAAACUCUGUUAUUAGGGAAGAACAAAUGUGUAAGUAACUAUGCACGUCUUGACGGUACCUAAUCAGAAAGCCACGGCUAACUACGUGCCAGCAGCCGCGGUAAU